GAGUUUGAUCCUGGCUCACAUUGAACGCUGGCGGCAUGCCUAACACAUGCAAGUCGAACGGUAACGCGAGGAGCUUGCUCCUUGGCGACGAGUGGCGGACGGGUGAGUAACACUUGGGAAUCUGCCCAGUAGUGGGGGACAACAUUCGGAAACGGAUGCUAAUACCGCAUACGCACUACGGUGGAAAGUGGGGGAUCUUCGGACCUCACGCUAUUGGAUGAGCCCAAGUCGGAUUAGCUUGUUGGUGAGGUAAUAGCUCACCAAGGCGACGAUCCGUAGCUGGUCUGAGAGGACGAUCAGCCACACUGGGACUGAGACACGGCCCAGACUCCUACGGGAGGCAGCAGUGGGGAAUAUUGGACAAUGGGCGCAAGCCUGAUCCAGCAAUGCCGCGUGUGUGAAGAAGGCCUGCGGGUUGUAAAGCACUUUCAGUAGAGAAGAAAAGCCUACGGUUAAUACCCGUGAGUCUUGACGUAACCUACAGAAGAAGCACCGGCUAACUCCGUGCCAGCAGCCGCGGUAAUACGGAGGGUGCGAGCGUUAAUCG
rnacentral:rRNA from 1 species